AAAACUCUCACCAAGCUCCUUCAUUUUACCCUCUAGUUAACAAUUUCCUAACUUACAGGAUCUUUUCCCAGGACUAGAAGAGAUUCUUUCAGCAGAACCUCUACAGCUUACCUGAGAGCAGGGGCUAAACAGUCCAUAGACUAAAUCUGGCCAGCUGCCUGCUUUUGUAAAUAAAGUUUUAUUGACUGAUUUUUGCGUCAGCUUCAGAGGACUGGGCCUUUGUCUAAUAUUUCAGCGAUCCCACCGUCCCAAGCUUAGUGCCUUAAAACAACAAUCAUUUAUCAUCUCUCCAAGAUUCUGUGGGUUGAUUGAACACUGUGGGGUGGUUCUUCUGUUCCAGGUGUUGCUGAUUAGAGCUGGAAUCCUCUGGGGACUCAAUUCUGCUGGAGCAACCAAGAGGGCUGUCUCACAUGGUUGCAGUUGAUACUGGCUGUGGGCUUGAAGUCCAUUCGGGGCUGUUGAGCAGAGCACCUUGAUUUACCUCCAUGUGGCCUCUCCUUUGACUUGGACAUCUCACAGUGUAACCAUUGGCCUCCAAGGGAAGAAAGCUUAACUGUCUUUCUCAAAGUCUGCACUUGGAAGUCCCAAGACAAUUUUUGUGCCCAAAUUCAAGAAGGGAGGAAAGGGACCGCCUUUGGAUGACAAAGAAUCAGUGGUCAUCUUUAAGCCACCAUAUUGAAACUCCUGAACCCAUGUCUGACCUUGCCCUGGAGCUGGUCAGCUGCAGCCAGCAUCUUCCUCGCAGACAAGUCACUCCCAUUAUUCUGUUUGUGAGGUUACCCAGACCUUAACUUUCAGUGGGCUUCUCAGUGUGUGACCACUGCAGUCUGUUCAUAAGGCCUGAAGGAGGGUAUUAUCACGCCCCCUCCUUGCCCUUUCAUUGAGCUUCCUAAAGCAAUUUCAACCUUGCCCACACCUCUGCCUCUUCAGAUCUUCCUCCUCUACACCUAAAUAACUCUCACUUGCCCUUCCUGUCUCAACUUAGGAGCCACCUCCUCCAGGAAGCACUCCCCUAUGCUCUCAAUGCAUCAUGAUUUAACCCCUUACUUGGCCCUGCC
rnacentral:lncRNA from 1 species